rnacentral:rRNA from 1 species
AUGACAAGCGUGACCAAAAAUCAGUUUGGUUUCAUGCCUGGGAGGUCGACCAUGGAAGUCAUUUUCUUGGUACGACAACUUAUGGAGAGAUAUAGGGAGCAUAAGAAGGACUUGCAUGUGGUGUUCAUUGACUUGGAGAAGGCCUAUGAUAAGAUACCGCGGAAUGUCAUGUGGUGGGCCUUGGAGAAACACAAAGUCCCAGCAAAGUACAUUACCCUCAUCAAGGACAUGUACAAUAAUGUUGUGACAAGUGUUCGAACAAGUGAUGUCGACACCGAUGACUUCCCGAUUAAGAUAGGACUGCAUCAGGGGUCAGCUUUGAGCCCUUAUCUUUUUGCAUUGGUGAUGGAUGAGGUCACAAGGGGUAUACAAGGAGAUAUCCCAUGGUGUAUGCUCUUUGCGGAUGAUGUGGUGCUAGUUGACGAUAGUCGGACGGGGGUAAAUAGGAAGUUAGAGUUAUGGAGACAAACCUUGGAAUCGAAAGGGUUUAGGCUUAGUAGAACUAAAACCGAGUACAUGAUGUGCGGUUUCAGUACUACUAGCUGUGAGGAGGAGGAGGUUAGCCUUGAUGGCCAGGUGGUACCUCGGAAGGACACCUUUCAGUAUUUGGGGUCAAUGUUGCAGGAGGAUGGGGGUAUUGAUGAAGAUGUGAACCAUCGAAUCAAAACCGGAUGGAUGAAGUGGCGCCAAGCUUCUGGCAUUCUCUGUGACAAGAGAGUGCCACAAAAGCUAAAAGGCAAGUUCUACAGGACGGCGGUUCGACCCGCAAUGUUGUAUGGCGCGGAGUGUUGGCCGACUAAAAGGCGACAUGUUCAACCGUUAGGUGUGGCGGAGAUGCGUAUGUUGAGAUGGAUGUGUGGCCACACGAGGAAGGAUCGAGUCCGGAAUGAUGAUAUACGAGAUAGAGUUGGGGUAGCACCAAUUGAGGAGAAGCUUGUCCAACAUCGUUUGAGAUGGUUUGGGCAUAUUCAGCGCAGGCCUCCAGAAGCUCCAGUGCAUAGCGAACGGCUAAAGCGUGCGGAGAAUGUCAAGAGAGGGCGGGGUCGACCGAUUUUGACAUGGGAGGAGUCCGUUAAGAGAGACCUGAAGGAUUGGAGUAUCGACAAAGAGCUAGCUAUGGACAGGAGUGCGUGGAAGCUUGCUAUCCAUGUGCCAGAGCCAUGA